AUUGAACGCUGGCGGCAUGCCUUACACAUGCAAGUCGAACGGUAACAGGUCUUCGGAUGCUGACGAGUGGCGAACGGGUGAGUAAUACAUCGGAACGUGCCUAGUAGUGGGGGAUAACUACUCGAAAGAGUGGCUAAUACCGCAUGAGAUCUACGGAUGAAAGCAGGGGAUCGCAAGACCUUGUGCUACUAGAGCGGCCGAUGGCAGAUUAGGUAGUUGGUGGGAUAAAAGCUUACCAAGCCGACGAUCUGUAGCUGGUCUGAGAGGACGAUCAGCCACACUGGUACUGGGACACGGCCCAGACUCCUACGGGAGGCAGCAGUGGGGAAUUUUGGACAAUGGGCGCAAGCCUGAUCCAGCAAUGCCGCGUGCAAGAUGAAGGCCUUCGGGUUGUAAACUGCUUUUGUACGGAACGAAAAGCCCUGGGUUAAUACCCUGGGGUCAUGACGGUACCGUAAGAAUAAGCACCGGCUAACUACGUGCCAGCCGCCGCAGUAAUAC
rnacentral:rRNA from 1 species